rnacentral:rRNA from 1 species
UAGCGCUGGCGGCGUGCCUAACACAUGCAAGUCGAACGGAGUUACUCUCCAGCUUGCUGGAGAACUAACUUAGUGGCGCACGGGUGAGUAACACGUGGGUAACCUACCCGAAAGACUGGGAUAACACCCCGAAAGGGGUGCUAAUACCGGAUACCUUUAUAAGUUUGCAUGAACUUAUAAAGAAAGUUUUUUCGCUUUCGGAUGGGCCCGCGUCCCAUUAGCUAGUUGGUGAGGUAACGGCUCACCAAGGCGACGAUGGGUAGCCGGCCUGAGAGGGUGGACGGCCACACUGGGACUGAGACACGGCCCAGACUCCUACGGGAGGCAGCAGUAGGGAAUAUUGCGCAAUGGACGGAAGUCUGACGCAGCGACGCCGCGUGAGCGAUGAGAGUCUUCGGAUCGUAAAGCUCUGCCCUUGGGGAAGAGGGGAAAGCUUGACGGUACCCAGAAGAAGCCCGGCUAACUACGUGCCAGCAGCCGCGGUAUACGUAGGGGCGAGCGUGUCCGAAUACUGGCGUAAGGGUGCGUAGCGGCCUUUAGCUGGAGUAAGCCGCGCUAC